rnacentral:lncRNA from 1 species
AUUAUAAAAACAAAUACUCAAUGCUUAAAAACAAAAAAACAAAAUAAAAACAUUAAGCUUAGCAAUCCCGAUCACAAUAUUCCCAUCGCAUUAAAUGAAUUCAACGAGCGGCUAUAUUCCCCUUGUUCUAAACUCGUCGAGAGGCAACUCCGCUAUUCUUGGUUAUUGGGGAUGUUAUAUGGACUCCCUUGCCUCAUAAUUGGUUUGAAUGUGAAUUCUCAAAGUUGAUUUUGGACCAUAAUUAUGAGGGGGUAUUUUUAUUUGGAGAAGCUCACUCUCGAGGAGUAGGGACGCCAAUACAUAUUCCUCGUCUCUUUGGGUAUGCUUUGAAUCUCACUCCAUAGUGAACAUUUAGUUUCUUUUUCCACAAGUACACUAUUCUUUGACCCGGAAAUAUAAGCGAGGUACCCCUCUUUUGCCAUGAUAGCAAUAAGAUGCUGCAUUGUGUCCCAAUAUCAAUCAUACCAAGGGGGCUUAGAUACUUUGGAGUGAAUAGUCUUCUCGAUCCGGCCGCUUUUGGUAAACAAAUAAGUUGCCUCCCUUUCUGCCUCCAUAUUUGACUCUGUUUUUCAUUAUAAGCGGUGCAUCUUAGGAUAAGGUUCACUUUUGGAAUGACUACUAUGUUACAACAUUUAAUUCCCUCUAAAAUGUGCUUAUAUCUCUAAAUGAGAUUGGAUUUCUAACCACGAUGGCUUUUUCAGCUACUUAGAACGAUUUCAAAGUAUCGUGGACAUAUUUGUAAUCAAUUUAAAUAUAUUUCAUUUCAGGCCCUGACUUCUUAUGAAAAUUGCCAAGGAUAUUGUGAAGCUUUGAAGCAUUCUCAGUGAUGUUUUUUCCAUUCAAGAUGACAGUGCAAUCAUCUGCAAAGAAAAUAUUAGUCACAUUCCUUCUUUCAAUUUCUAUCUCUUCAAGACACGUAUCCAUUGUAUUCUGGAACUGUGCAACAGAUGUGUCUUUCAAUAUCAAUAAAUGAAUCAGAAUAUAUUAAUAGUUUGUUUACAGCGGAGGAAAAUAUAGCAGGAAAAUUCUCAUAGUAAGUUCUUCAAUGAUGAAGUUGUGCUCAAUCGAAUCAAAAGCUUUCUGAAAAUCGAGACAUAUCAGCGCCGUAUCUUCUUCAUUUCUUUUCGCCUGACCAGCUAUAGAUUGUUAGGAUAUGGUCACAUCCUACAUUUGGGCCGAAAACCAAAAUGAGUCUCACUUAGAAUUUGUUCUAAAAUUGGUUUUAUUCUUUCAGUUAAACACCCAGAAUAAAUUUUAUAUUCAGUUUCUAACAA